AUGCCCGGCCAAAAAGCUGCAGGAUUGCCUUCACGGCCUCGAUGUCGUCCGGCUGCUGGUGACAGAAGAGGACCACAUCAUCCGCAUAAAGCGAGAUGGGGGGAUCGGCCGGGAGGGGUGCAGCCGGCGUAUGAUCCCGAGCUCGGUGGCGUGCUUGAACAGACGACCAAGGGUGUCGACAGCCAAGACGAACAGCUGCGGCGACAUGGGGUCCCCUUGGCGCAGGCCUUGGCGGUGCCAAAUUGGGGGGCCAAGGCUUCCAUUGAGCAGCACCUUGGUGCUAGCAGAAGACAAGAGGAUCGCCAGCCACUCAAGGAAUCUAUCCCCGAAGCCAUAUUGUUUCAGCACCUCGAAGAGGAAAGGCCAGGAUAUCGAGUCGAACGCCCUCGCGAGAUCAAGCUUCAGCAUUACGCGCGGUGCUCCCAACUGGUGCAGAAGACGAGCAGAUUGGCGCACCAGGACGAAAUUGUCAUGGAGGCUGCGCCCAGGGAUGAAGGCGUUCUGGUUGUUGCUGACGAGGGCGUCGAGUCUCGACGCGAGGUGGAGCGAUAG
rnacentral:rRNA from 1 species